GAAGAGGUAAAGAUACUCAACUCAACUAAAUCCAAGUCCCAAACUAGUCAUUUAUCUUCGCGGUUGAAGUUGGUCCUUGUUGUAGGUUUCGUCCGGUUCAGUUCUUUCUCUGAAGUCCAUUGCUUAUUCGAACCUUCCAAAUAUGUUCUACUGAUGUAUAACACGACGACGGGUGACUGCAACUUCAAAGUGGUAUUAAAACUGCUAUGAACACAUGAUUUCUCUUUCAUGUUUCCUUUCUUGAUAUACACAUGACAUAUGAGUUUGGUAUAUACCAUUACAACAAACUCAAUGUUAUUCUCUCUGUACUAUCGCUGCUAUAUUAUAUCAUAGACUAUCUCUGUUGCUAACCUUGUAUUAUCACAUUGUUUUUUCGGCUUAAACUGCUAUAGACUAUCCACAUUUAUUGUUCCGGAUUAACAUAUUGAUCAUCUUGCCCUAGUAUCACGAGUACAUAUAUGAAAGUAUACAAGUUAUGUGAAAUUUCUCAGUCAAGAAUCACAGAAAUGGUGAAUGCUUUUUAAGUUCCGCACAAUUCUUUCUUGGAUGGAGACAAUGGUGGGUGUGGGAGCCCAUCCUUCCCUAUCAGCAGCUCAAAAGAAAAACUGGACCAGAUAAGGUUACGAAGGGCCCUCAGUCUUUUAGACGUUUGGCUGGAAAGGCACAAGGAAAGCUUCUCUCUUGGGACCGAAUUGUAACUAACCUGGAAUUCUUCAUCACUAAAGAAGCAAAAGGCAUUCUGCUUAUUGGAAGCAAAGUUGACUUCAAAACCAUGUAGUCUGAUUUAUAGAUUGUUCAAAGUAAUCUAAUUGAUUGAAGAAAAUAUUAACAUA